GGGGUUGUAGCUCAGUGAUACAGUGCUUGCCUAGCAUGUAUGAGGCACUGGGUUUGAUUCUCAGUACCACA
rnacentral:tRNA from 1 species